rnacentral:rRNA from 1 species
CUUGGUCAUUUAGAGGAAGUAAAAGUCGUAACAAGGUUUCCGUAGGUGAACCUGCGGAAGGAUCAUUAUUGUAUAACGGAGGUGCCGGGGCUGUCGCUAACUUUGUGCACGCCCUGGUGCUCUCUUACAAUCCAUCUCACCCCCUUUGUGCAUCACCGCGUGGGUGCUCUCCUUUUGGUUUGUUCCGAAAGGGGGCAUUUGCGUUUUUAUACAAACCACCGCAUGUGUAGAAUGUCUUACUAUUUGCGAUAAUGCGCAAUCAAUACAACUUUCAGCAACGGAUCUCUUGGCUCUCGCAUCGAUGAAGAACGCAGCGAAAUGCGAUAAGUAAUGUGAAUUGCAGAAUUCAGUGAAUCAUCGAAUCUUUGAACGCAUCUUGCGCUCCUUGGUUAAUCCAAGGAGCAUGCCUGUUUGAGUGUCAUUAAUGUCUCAACCACGCCGUGAGGUCGUGGCUUGGAUUUGGGGGUUACAGGCUCUGAACUUGUGGUCUGCUCCCCUGAAAUACAUGAGCGGUGAACGACCCUCUCCGUCGAGAUGUGAUACAUAUCUGCAUCCAGUUGAGGGUUUUGCUGCCGCGAGAGUUGGAUUUGAUAAACUUGACCUCAAAUCAGGUAGGACCACCCGCUGGGCUUAAGCAUAUCAAUAAGCGGAGGA